rnacentral:lncRNA from 1 species
CCGCGACCUGCCGGCCCCCGGCCUCCCUGAUUGGCCGUCCUGGAGUGACGUGACGGCCGCCUCGGCCUAUGGCAGCGGAGCCGGCCGGUGGCGGGGUGCGGAAGCUGCGGGGUGCGGCGGGCGCAGUGCCGGUUGGCUUGUGCGGAGUGCGGGUGACGGUUCGGGCGGCGUGCGCGGCCUUUGCUUUGCUCUGUCCUGGCGCCGGCGGGAUGACGCGCUUCGCUCUGACAGUGGUCCGGCAGACAAGGAAUAGAUGAGCCUCUUUCAGAAACUGGAUUUAAACAAGCGGCUGCUGCUGGCAUAUUUCUUAACAACGUGAAGUUUACUCACAUCUUCUCCAGCGACCUCACGAGGACAAAGCAGGUGAGCUUAGAGGCAAGGUUGAGGCCGUUGAGUCAAGAGUCUCAGCAGUCGUGCCAGAGUCCGCAGGGAAUUAACUCACACGAGACGUCAUCCCCAGCCCUCCUCUCCCUGACAGAACUUACUUCUUUCCCCUUCAUUGUACUUUUGUGCUUUGUUUUAUUGUGGUAAUUCUUAAGUUAGAGUAGCUUGGGGAAAACGUCUAACAAAAGGCCUGUAAAAAGGCAAAGAAGGUGUCGUGAGAGAGAGCCAGUGGAAACACCACAGAGACGUCAGAUUUUAGAACCCAGAUACAGUUUGAAAAACAACUGUGUUACUCUAAAGAAAUAAAAGACGUGUGAAAUAUCUUUAAGGAACAGAUUACUAUAAAAAUGAUCCCAGAGAUUCAAGAAAGAACCAAAUCAACUUCUAAAAGGUCGGUGGGAGGAGACUUUUGUGGCAACCAUGGGGGAAUAACAGGGUUGGAAUGUAGCCUCCCCCCAUAAACAACUAGAAAACAGGACAAAAUCUGUGAAGCAACUGUUUUCAGACAUUGGACCCCAGGCAGCGUGGGCUGCGAUCCCCGAAUGAAGUGAAACAAAACAGGUGAGCCCUUGAUCGUCCUGGUUUUCCAGCUGAAGCAAUUCCCAGACUCUGGCAGAAGAAGCCAAAUAGAGGACAGUGGUCUCAGUGAUUGAGGGGACAGAGCUUGGAAUUUGGGGCGUUUAAGUAACUAAAAUUUGUGGGGAAGAGUGCUGGAGAGAGAGCUGC